GGCAGUCAGAGGCGAUGAAGGGCGUGCUAAUCUGCGAUAAGCGCCGGUAAGGUGAUAUGAACCGUUAUAACCGGCGAUACCCGAAUGGGGAAACCCAGUGUGACUCGUCACACUAUCAUUAACUGAAUCCAUAGGUUAAUGAGGCGAACCGGGGGAACUGAAACAUCUAAGUACCCCGAGGAAAAGAAAUCAACCGAGAUUCCCCCAGUAGCGGCGAGCGAACGGGGAGGAGCCCAGAGCCUGAAUCAGCAUGUGUGUUAGUGGAAGCGUCUGGAAAGGCGCGCGAUACAGGGUGACAGCCCCGUACACAAAAGCGCAUGUGCUGUGAGCUCG
rnacentral:rRNA from 1 species